rnacentral:rRNA from 1 species
UUGCAUGCCUGGGGUAAUCCUUGAGACAAGCAUAUGACUACAUCCCGACUUCGGAAGGGAUGUAUUUAUNNNAUUAAAAACCAAUGCCCCUCGGGGCUCUCUGGUGAAUCAUGAUAACUAGUCGAAUCGACAGGCCUUGUGCCGGCGAUGGCUCAUUCAAAUUUCUUCCCUAUCAACUUUCGAUGUUUGGGUAUUGGCCAAACAUGGUGGCAACGGGUAACGGAGGGUUAGGGCUCGACCCCGGAGAAGGAGCCUGAGAAACGGCUACUACAUCCAAGGAAGGCAGCAGGCGCGCAAAUUACCCAAUCCCGACACGGGGAGGUAGUGACAAUAAAUACUGAUACAGGGCUCUUUUGGGUCUUGUAAUCGGAAUGAGUACAAUUUAAAUCCCUUAACGAGGAACAAUUGGAGGGCAAGUCUGGUGCCAGCAGCCGCGGUAAUUCCAGCUCCAAUAGCGUAUAUUAAAGUUGUUGUGGUUAAAAAGCUCGUAGUUGAACCUUGGGCCUGGCUGGCCGGUCCGCCUCACCGCGUGCACUGGUCCGGCCGGGCCUUUCCCUC